rnacentral:rRNA from 1 species
AGCGAACGCUGGCGGCAGGCUUAACACAUGCAAGUCGAGCGGGCCCUUCGGGGUUAGCGGCAGACGGGUGAGUAACGCGUGGGAACGUGCCCUUCGGUUUGGAAUAACUCAGGGAAAAUUGAGCUAAUACCGGAUACGCUCCUACGGGGAAAGGCUUGCUGCCGAAGGAUCGGCCCGCGUCUGAUUAGCUAGUUGGUGAGGUUAUGGCUCACCAAGGCGGCGAUCAGUAGCUGGUCUGAGAGGAUGAUCAGCCACACUGGGACUGAGACACGGCCCAGACUCCUGCGGGAGGCAGCAGUGGGGAAUAUUGGACGAUGGGGGCAACCCUGAUCCAGCCAUGCCGCGAGAGUGAUGACGGCCUUAGGGUUGUAAAGCUCUUUUCUCCGGGACGAUAAUGACGGUACCGGAGGAAUAAGCCCCGGCUAACUUCGU